CCUACGGGAGGCAGCAGUGGGGAAUAUUGCACAAUGGGCGCAAGCCUGAUGCAGCCAUGCCGCGUGUAUGAAGAAGGCCUUCGGGUUGUAAAGUACUUUCAGCAGUGAGGAAGGCGGAGUCGUUAAUAGCGGCCUCGUUUGACGUUAGCUGCAGAAGAAGCACCGGCUAACUCCGUGCCAGCAGCCGCGGUAAUACGGAGGGUGCGAGCGUUAAUCGGAAUUACUGGGCGUAAAGCGCAUGCAGGUGGUUUGUUAAGUCAGAUGUGAAAGCCCGGGGCUCAACCUCGGAAUUGCAUUUGAAACUGGCAGACUAGAGUACUGUAGAGGGGGUAGAAUUUCAGGUGUAGCGGUGAAAUGCGUAGAGAUCUGAAGGAAUACCGGUGGCGAAGGCGGCCCCCUGGACAGAUACUGACACUCAGAUGCGAAAGCGUGGGGAGCAAACAGGAUUAGAUACCCUGGUAA
rnacentral:rRNA from 1 species